rnacentral:rRNA from 1 species
GCACAAGCGGUGGAGCAUGUGGUUUAAUUCGACGCAACGCGAAGAACCUUACCUGGGCUCGAAAUGUACAGGAAUCCGGUGGAAACAUCGGCGCCCAGCAAUGGGCCUGUAUAUAGGUGCUGCAUGGCUGUCGUCAGCUCGUGUCGUGAGAUGUUGGGUUAAGUCCCGCAACGAGCGCAACCCUUACCUCCAGUUGCUACCAUUUAGUUGAGCACUCUGGCGGAACCGCCUCGGAUAACGGGGAGGAAGGUGGGGAUGACGUCAAGUCCUCAUGGCCUUUAUGUCCAGGGCUACACACGUGCUACAAUGGCCGGUACAAACCGCUGCAAACCCGCGAGGGGGAGCUAAUCGGAAAAAGCCGGCCUCAGUUCGGAUUGGAGUCUGCAACUCGACUCCAUGAAGCUGGAAUCGCUAGUAAUCGCGGAUCAGAACGCCGCGGUGAAUACGUUCCCGGGC